rnacentral:lncRNA from 1 species
AUAACGUUUAUCUGGGCACCCUGUGGCCAGUCAUGCUGACACACAACACUAAACGUCACUGGCAGUGAUGAGAUGACGUGUACCAGUGUGAUCGGGGGGCAGGUGACAUGAUGCUGUGUAUAGAAAAUCCUGAGAAAUCAAUCUGCAGAAAAACUAUUCCAACUAAUAACCAUGUACGGCAAUUGGCAGGAUCCAAGAUCAACAUACAAAACUCAGUCUUAUUUCUAUACACUAGCAAUGAACGAUCCAAAAAUGGAAUUAAGAACAUAAUCCCAUUUGUAAUAGCAGCAAACAGAACAAAAUCCCUAGAAAUAAAUUUAGCAAAAGAAAUCUAAGACUUGUACACUGAAAACUACCAAACACCGUCACAAGUAAUUAAAGAAGAUCUAAUAAAUGGAAGGAUAUCCGAUGUUCACGGAGCAGAAGACUUCAUAUUGUGCCCACGUCAGUAUGCCCCAAAUGGACCCACAGCUUCAAUGCCAUACCUAUCAGAAUCCCAGCUGGCUUUUUACAAGCUCGUCCUCAAAUCCACAUGGAAAUGCAAAGGCAUCUCGAAGAGCCAAAACAACUUGGAAAAAGAAGAACAAAAUUGUUGGACUCACGCUUCCUAAUUCAAACUUACUGCGAAGCUACAGCGAUCGAUACAGCGUGGUCCUGACAUGAGGACAGGCAGACAGACCAUUGCAAUGGAACUGAGACUCCAGAAAUAAACCCUCGCAUUCAUGGUUGAUUGGUUUCAUGCCAAGACCAUUCAAUGUGGGAAAGAACGGUCUUUUUAACACAUUGUGCUGGGACCACUGGGUAUCCACGUGGAAAAGGAUGACGCCGGGCCCCUACCUCACGCUGUACACAAAAAUUAACUCAGCGUUAACUCAAAAUGGGUGAUAGACCUCAAUGUAAGAGCUAAAACUGUAAAACUCUUAGAGAAAGACAUGAGUGUAAAUCUUUGUGACUUUGUGUUAGACCGUGGUUUCUUAUAUAUGACACCAAAAGCGCAAAGUAAGAAAAAAGUAGGUAAGUUGGAGUUAGUCAAAAUUUUAAACUUCUGUGUGUCAAAGGAUAUCAUCAAGAAAGUGGAGGGGCCAGCCCUGCGGCCAAGUGGUUAAGUUCCCGUGCUCUGCUUUGGUGGCCGAGGGUUUCACUAGUUCGGAUCCUGGGUGUGGACCUAGCACCGCUCAUCAAGCCAUGCUGAGGUGGCGUCCCACACAGCAGAACUAGAAGGACCUACUGCUAGAAUAUAUAACUAUGUACUGGGGGGCUUUGGAGAGAAGAAGGAGAAAGAGAAGAAAAAGAUUGGCAACAGAUGUUAGCUCAGGUGCCAAUCUUUAAAAAAAAAAAAAUCUGGAAAAAAGAAAAGAAAGUGGAAAGACAACCCAUGAAAUGGGAGGAAAUCUUUGCAAAUCGUGUCUCUGAUAAGAGACUAGUGUCCGUAACAUGUAGGGAGUUCUUCACAACAACCGGAAAGCAAACAACCCAACUUAAACAGUGGACGAAAGAUCUGGAUAAAGAUUUUCAAAGAAGACAAACAGAUGGUCAAAAAGCACAUGGAGAGGUGCUCAGCCUCGCUAACCGUCAGGGACGUGCCAAUCAAAACCACAAGGAGAUAGCACCUCCCACCCACUAGGAUGGCUAUCAUGGAAGGACAGGCUGUAACAAGUGUUGACUAGGACGUGGAGGAAUCGGAGCCCUCAUUCAUUGCUGGUGGGAAUGCAAAAUGGGGCGGCCGUUUUGGAAAAGUCAAAAUGCUAAACAUAAAGUUGCCACAUGACCCAAUAAGUCCUCUUAAGUAUAUUCCCAAGAGAAAUGAAAAUAGAUGUCUAUACAGAAGUGUGUACACGAGUGUCAUUGUUCACAACGGCUAAAGGGCAGAAACAACCCAAGUGUCCAUCAUCAGAUGACAGCUAAGCCAGCUGUGGUAUAGCCACACCAUGGAGUAUCAUUCAGCCGUAAAAAGGAGUGACAUGCUGACACCUGCUCCAGUGUGGAUGAACCUUGAGGACGUUGUGCUGGGUGAAGGAAGCCGGACACAAAAGGACAGGUCCUGUAGGAUUCCAUUGUGUG